GACGAACGCUGGCGGCGUGCUUAACACAUGCAAGUCGAACGGAAAGGCCCUGCUUUUGUGGGGUGCUCGAGUGGCGAACGGGUGAGUAACACGUGAGUAACCUGCCCUUGACUGUGGGAUAACUUCAGGAAACUGGGGCUAAUACCGGAUAGGAGCUCCUGCUGCAUGGUGGGGGUUGGAAAGUUUCGGCGGUUGGGGAUGGACUCGCGGCUGAUCAGCUUGUUGGUGGGGUAGUGGCUUACCAAGGCUUUGACGGGUAGCCGGCCUGAGAGGGUGAGCGGCCACAUUGGGACUGAGAUACGGACCAGACUCCUACGGGAGGCAGCAGUGGGGAAUAUUGCAAAAUGGGCGGAAGCCUGAUGCAGCAACGCCGCGUGCGGGAUGACGGCCUUCGGGUUGUAAACCGCUUUCGCCUGUGACGAAGCGUGUGUGACGGUAAUGGGUAAAGAAGCCCCGGCUAACUACGUG
rnacentral:rRNA from 1 species